GGCCUGAUGGUCUAGUGGUAGGAUUCUCGCUUUGGGCAUGCUGGGGCGCGCGGCUGCCGCUGUGCCCGGCGCGAGCUUGCGAGAGGUCCCGGGUUCAAUCCCCGGUCAGGCCC